rnacentral:rRNA from 1 species
UACAGAGGUCCCAAGCGUUGUUCGGAUUCAUUGGGCGUAAAGGGUGCGUAGGCGGCGCGGUAAGUCGGGUGUGAAAUCUCGGGGCUUAACUCCGAAACUGCAUUCGAUACUGUGCGGCUAGAGUGCGGAAGGGGCAACUGGAAUUCUUGGUGUAGCGGUGAAAUGCGUAGAUAUCAAGAGGAACACCUGCGGCGAAGGCGGGUUGCUGGGCCGACACUGACGCUGAGGCGCGAAAGCUAGGGGAGCGAACGGG